rnacentral:rRNA from 1 species
UACGAAGGGGGCUAGCGUUGCUCGGAAUCACUGGGCGUAAAGCGCACGUAGGCGGCUUUCUAAGUCAGGGGUGAAAUCCUGGAGCUCAACUCCAGAACUGCCUUUGAUACUGGAAAGCUCGAGUCCGGAAGAGGUGAGUGGAACUGCGAGUGUAGAGGUGAAAUUCGUAGAUAUUCGCAAGAACACCAGUGGCGAAGGCGGCUCACUGGUCCGGUACUGACGCUGAGGUGCGAAAGCGUGGGGAGCGAACAGG